rnacentral:rRNA from 1 species
GUUAGGAAUAUUCGUCAAUGGGGGAAACCCUGAACGAGCAAUGCCGCGUGAAGGAAGACGGUCCUAUGGAUUGUAAACUUCUGUUGUAAGGGAAGAACGACCUAAGUAGGAAAUGAUUUAGGAGUGACGGUACCUUUCAAGAAAGCUCCGGCUAACUACGUGCCAGCAGCCGCGGUAAUACGUAGGGAGCGAGCGUUAUCCGGAAUUAUUGGGUGUAAAGGGUGCGUAGGCGGCAUAAUAAGUCAGUGGUGAAAGCCCGGAGCUUAACUCCGGUAAGCCAUUGAAACUGUUAAGCUUGAGUAUGGUAGAGGCAAGCGGAAUUUCUAGUGUAGCGGUAAAAUGCGUAGAUAUUAGAAGGAACACCAGUGGCGAAGGCGGCUUGCUGGGCCAAAACUGACGCUGAGGCACGAAAGCGUGGGGAGCAAAUAGG